GCAUCGGUGGUUUAGUGGUAAAAUUAGCCGUUGCCAAAACUUUCGGUUCCGAACCGGAAAAGCGACGUCGGCUAGCCCCGGGUUCGAUUCCCGGCCGAUGCA